rnacentral:lncRNA from 1 species
CGUGUACGGCCCGCCCAUAGCUCCUUCGACGGCGCCGCCUAGGAACGCGGAGAAAAUAUGACAAAGGAACGGCCAAAAAUAAAAAGAAAGACCUUUCUUUUGAAAAAACAAACAAAAAAAAAGGAAUGCAACACGAGGACUUCCCAGGAGGUCACCCAUCCUAGUACUACUCUCGCCCAAGCACGCUUAACUUCGGAGUUCUGAUGGGAUCCGGUGCUUUAGUGCUGGUAUGAUCGCAUCCGACAUACCGUGCGUUCUCCUCCCCUUUAUGCCCGCGCCUCCGUGUACGGCCCGCCCAUAGCUCCUUCGACGGCGCCGCCUAGGAACGCGGAGAAAAUAUGACAAAGGAACGGCCAAAAAUAAAAAGAAAGACCUUUCUUUUGAAAAAACAAACAAAAAAAAGGAAUGCAACACGAGGACUUCCCAGGAGGUCACCCAUCCUAGUACUACUCUCGCCCAAGCACGCUUAACUUCGGAGUUCUGAUGGGAUCCGGUGCUUUAGUGCUGGUAUGAUCGCAUCCGACAUACCGUGCGUUCUCCUCCCCUUUAUGCCCGCGCCUCCGUGUACGGCCCGCCCAUAGCUCCUUCGACGGCGCCGCCUAGGAACGCGGAGAAAAUAUGACAAAGGAACGGCCAAAAAUAAAAAGAAAGACCUUUCUUUUGAAAAAACAAACAAAAAAAAGGAAUGCAACACGAGGACUUCCCAGGAGGUCACCCAUCCUAGUACUACUCUCGCCCAAGCACGCUUAACUUCGGAGUUCUGAUGGGAUCCGGUGCUCUAGUGCUGGUAUGAUCGCAUCCGACAUACCGUGCGUUCUCCUCCCCUUUAUGCCCGCGCCUCCGUGUACGGCCCGCCCAUAGCUCCUUCGACGGCGCCGCCUAGGAACGCGGAGAAAAUAUGACAAAGGAACGGCCAAAAAUAAAAAGAAAGACCUUUCUUUUGAAAAAACAAACAAAAAAAAAGGAAUGCAACACGAGGACUUCCCAGGAGGUCACCCAUCCUAGUACUACUCUCGCCCAAGCACGCUUAACUUCGGAGUUCUGAUGGGAUCCGGUGCUUUAGUGCUGGUAUGAUCGCAUCCGACAUACCGUGCGUUCUCCUCCCCUUUAUGCCCGCGCCUCCGUGUACGGCCCGCCCAUAGCUCCUUCGACGGCGCCGCCUAGGAACGCGGAGAAAAUAUGACAAAGGAACGGCCAAAAAUAAAAAGAAAGACCUUUCUUUUGAAAAAACAAACAAAUAAAAGGAAUGCAACACGAGGACUUCCUAGGAGGUCACCCAUCCUAGUACUACUCUCGCCCAAGCACGCUUAACUUCGGAGUUCUAAUGGGAUCCGGUGCUUUAGUGCUGGUAUGAUCGCAUCCGACAUACCGUGCGUUCUCCUCCCCUUUAUGCCCGCGCCUCCGUGUACGGCCCGCCCAUAGCUCCUUCGACGGCGCCGCCUAGGAACGCGGAGAAAAUAUGACAAAGGAACGGCCAAAAAUAAAAAGAAAGACCUUUCUUUUGAAAAAACAAACAAAAAAAAGGAAUGCAACACGAGGACUUCCCAGGAGGUCACCCAUCCUAGUACUACUCUCGCCCAAGCACGCUUAACUUCGGAGUUCUGAUGGGAUCCGGUGCUUUAGUGCUGGUAUGAUCGCAUCCGACAUACCGUGCGUUCUCCUCCCCUUUAUGCCCGCGCCUCCGUGUACGGCCCGCCCAUAGCUCCUUCGACGGCGCCGCCUAGGAACGCGGAGAAAAUAUGACAAAGGAACGGCCAAAAAUAAAAAGAAAGACCUUUCUUUUGAAAAAACAAACAAAAAAAAGGAAUGCAACACGAGGACUUCCCAGGAGGUCACCCAUCCUAGUACUACUCUCGCCCAAGCACGCUUAACUUCGGAGUUCUGAUGGGAUCCGGUGCUUUAGUGCUGGUAUGAUCGCAUCCGACAUACCGUGCGUUCUCCUCCCCUUUAUGCCCGCGCCUCCGUGUACGGCCCGCCCAUAGCUCCUUCGACGGCGCCGCCUAGGAACGCGGAGAAAAUAUGACAAAGGAACGGCCAAAAAUAAAAAGAAAGACCUUUCUUUUGAAAAAACAAACAAAAAAAAGGAAUGCAACACGAGGACUUCCCAGGAGGUCACCCAUCCUAGUACUACUCUCGCCCAAGCACGCUUAACUUCGGAGUUCUGAUGGGAUCCGGUGCUUUAGUGCUGGUAUGAUCGAAUCCGACAUACCGUGCGUUCUCCUCCCCUUUAUGCCCGCGCCUCCGUGUACGGUCCGCCCAUAGCUCCUUCGACGGCGCCGCCUAGGAACGCGGAGAAAAUAUGACAAAGGAACGGCCAAAAAUAAAAAGAAAGACCUUUCUUUUGAAAAAACAAACAAAUAAAAGGAAUGCAACACGAGGACUUCCCAGGAGGUCACCCAUCCUAGUACUACUCUCGCCCAAGCACGCUUAACUUCGGAGUUCUGAUGGGAUCCGGUGCUUUAGUGCUGGUAUGAUCGCAUCCGACAUACCGUGCGUUCUCCUCCCCUUUAUGCCCGCGCCUCCGUGUACGGCCCGCCCAUAGCUCCUUCGACGGCGCCGCCUAGGAACGCGGAGAAAAUAUGACAAAGGAACGGCCAAAAAUAAAAAGAAAGACCUUUCUUUUGAAAAAACAAACAAAUAAAAGGAAUGCAACACGAGGACUUCCCAGGAGGUCACCCAUCCUAGUACUACUCUCGCCCAAGCACGCUUAACUUCGGAGUUCUGAUGGGAUCCGGUGCUUUAGUGCUGGUAUGAUCGCAUCCGACAUACCGUGCGUUCUCCUCCCCUUUAUGCCCGCGCCUCCGUGUACGGCCCGCCCAUAGCUCCUUCGACGGCGCCGCCUAGGAACGCGGAGAAAAUAUGACAAAGGAACGGCCAAAAAUAAAAAGAAAGACCUUUCUUUUGAAAAAACAAACAAAAAAAAGGAAUGCAGCACCAGGACUUCCCGGAAGGUCACCCAUCCAAAUACAACUCUCGCCGAACCACGUUUAACUUCGAAUUUCUAAUGGAAUCCGGGGCUUUAGAGCUGGAAUGAUCGCAUCCGACAUACCGUGCGUUCUCCUCCCCUUUAUGCCCGCGCCUCCGUGUACGGCCCGCCCAUAGCUCCUUCGACGGCGCCGCCUAGGAACGCGGAGAAAAUAUGACAAAGGAGCGGCCAAAAAUAAAAAGAAAGACCUUUCUUUUGAAAAAACAAACAAAUAAAAGGAAUGCAACACGAGGACUUCCUAGGAGGUCACCCAUCCUAGUACUACUCUCGCCCAAGCACGCUUAACUUCGGAGUUCUGAUGGGAUCCGGUGCUUUAGUGCUGGUAUGAUCGCAUCCGACAUACCGUGCGUUCUCCUCCCCUUUAUGCCCGCGCCUCCGUGUACGGCCCGCCCAUAGCUCCUUCGACGGCGCCGCCUAGGAACGCGGAGAAAAUAUGACAAAGGAACGGCCAAAAAUAAAAAGAAAGACCUUUCUUUUGAAAAAACAAACGCCUCCGUGUACGGCCCGCCCAUAGCUCCUUCGACGGCGCCGCCUAGGAACGCGGAGAAAAUAUGACAAAGGAACGGCCAAAAAUAAAAAGAAAGACCUUUCUUUUGAAAAAACAAACAAAAAAAAGGAAUGCAACACGAGGACUUCCCAGGAGGUCACCCAUCCUAGUACUACUCUCGCCCAAGCACGCUUAACUUCGGAGUUCUGAUGGGAUCCGGUGCUUUAGUGCUGGUAUGAUCGCAUCCGACAUACCGUGCGUUCUCCUCCCCUUUAUGCCCGCGCCUCCGUGUACGGCCCGCCCAUAGCUCCUUCGACGGCGCCGCCUAGGAACGCGGAGAAAAUAUGACAAAGGAACGGCCAAAAAUAAAAAGAAAGACCUUUCUUUUGAAAAAACAAACAAAUAAAAGGAAUGCAACACGAGGACUUCCCAGGAGGUCACCCAUCCUAGUACUACUCUCGCCCAAGCACGCUUAACUUCGGAGUUCUGAUGGGAUCCGGUGCUUUAGUGCUGGUAUGAUCGCAUUCGACAUACCGAUGCGUUCUCAUCCCCGUUAUGCGCCGCGCCUCUGUGUACGGCCCGCCCAUAGCUCCUUUGACUGCGCCUCGUAGGAUCGCGGAGAAUAUAUGACAAAGGCACGGCCAAACAUAAAACGAAAGACCUCUCUUUUGCAACAACAAACAAAAUAAAGGAAUGCAACACGAGGACUUCCCAGGAGGUCACCCAUCCUAGUACUAGUCUCGCUCAAGCACGCUGAUCUUCGGAGUUCUGAUGGGAUCCGGUGCUUUAGUGCUGGUAUGAUCGCAUCCGACAUACCGUGCGUUCUCCUCCCCUUUAUGCCCGCGCCUCCGUGUACGGCCCGCCCAUAGCUCCUUCGACGGCGCCGCCUAGGAACGCGGAGAAAAUAUGACAAAGGAACGGCCAAAAAUAAAAAGAAAGACCUUUCUUUUGAAAAAACAAACAAAAAAAAGGAAUGCAACACGAGGACUUCCCAGGAGGUCACCCAUCCUAGUACUACUCUCGCCCAAGCACGCUUAACUUCGGAGUUCUGAUGGGAUCCGGUGCUUUAGUGCUGGUAUGAUCGCAUCCGACAUACCGUGCGUUCUCCUCCCCUUUAUGCCCGCGCCUCCGUGUACGGCCCGCCCAUAGCUCCUUCGACGGCGCCGCCUAGGAACGCGGAGAAAAUAUGACAAAGGAACGGCCAAAAAUAAAAAGAAAGACCUUUCUUUUGAAAAAACAAACAAAUAAAAGGAAUGCAACACGAGGACUUCCCAGGAGGUCACCCAUCCUAGUACUACUCUCGCCCAAGCACGCUUAACUUCGGAGUUCUGAUGGGAUCCGGUGCUUUAGUGCUGGUAUGAUCGCAUCCGACAUACCGUGCGUUCUCCUCCCCUUUAUGCCCGCGCCUCCGUGUACGGCCCGCCCAUAGCUCCUUCGACGAGCCCGCCUAGGAACGCGGAGAAAAUAUGACAAAGGAACGGCCAAAAAUAAAAAGAAAGACCUUUCUUUUGAAAAAACAAACAAAUAAAAGGAAUGCAACACGAGGACUUCCCAGGAGGUCACCCAUCCUAGUACUACUCUCGCCCAAGCACGCUUAACUUCGGAGUUCUGAUGGGAUCCGGUGCUUUAGUGCUGGUAUGAUCGCAUCCGACAUACCGUGCGUUCUCCUCCCCUUUAUGCCCGCGCCUCCGUGUACGGCCCGCCCAUAGCUCCUUCGACGGCGCCGCCUAGGAACGCGGAGAAAAUAUGACAAAGGAACGGCCAAAAAUAAAAAGAAAGACCUUUCUUUUGAAAAAACAAACAAAAAAAAGGAAUGCAACACGAGGACUUCCCAGGAGGUCACCCAUCCUAGUACUACUCUCGCCCAAGCACGCUUAACUUCGGAGUUCUGAUGGGAUCCGGUGCUUUAGUGCUGGUAUGAUCGCAUCCGACAUACCGUGCGUUCUCCUCCCCUUUAUGCCCGCGCCUCCGUGUACGGCCCGCCCAUAGCUCCUUCGACGGCGCCGCCUAGGAACGCGGAGAAAAUAUGACAAAGGAACGGCCAAAAAUAAAAAGAAAGACCUUUCUUUUGAAAAAACAAACAAAUAAAAGGAAUGCAACACGAGGACUUCCCAGGAGGUCACCCAUCCUAGUACUACUCUCGCCCAAGCACGCUUAACUUCGGAGUUCUGAUGGGAUCCGGUGCUUUAGUGCUGGUAUGAUCGCAUCCGACAUACCGUGCGUUCUCCUCCCCUUUAUGCCCGCGCCUCCGUGUACGGCCCGCCCAUAGCUCCUUCGACGGCGCCGCCUAGGAACGCGGAGAAAAUAUGACAAAGGAACGGCCAAAAAUAAAAAGAAAGACCUUUCUUUUGAAAAAACAAACAAAUAAAAGGAAUGCAACACGAGGACUUCCCAGGAGGUCACCCAUCCUAGUACUACUCUCGCCCAAGCACGCUUAACUUCGGAGUUCUGAUGGGAUCCGGUGCUUUAGUGCUGGUAUGAUCGCAUCCGACAUACCGUGCGUUCUCCUCCCCUUUAUGCCCGCGCCUCCGUGUACGGUCCGCCCAUAGCUCUUUAGUUGGCGCCUCCUAGGAACGCGGAGAAAAUAUGACAAAGGAACGGCCAAAAAUAAAAAGAAAGACCUUUCUUUUGAAAAAACAAACGCCUCCGUGUACGGCCCGCCCAUAGCUCCUUCGACGGCGCCGCCUAGGAACGCGGAGAAAAUAUGACAAAGGAACGGCCAAAAAUAAAAAGAAAGACCUUUCUUUUGAAAAAACAAACAAAAAAAAGGAAUGCAACACGAGGACUUCCCAGGAGGUCACCCAUCCUAGUACUACUCUCGCCCAAGCACGCUUAACUUCGGAGUUCUGAUGGGAUCCGGUGCUUUAGUGCUGGUAUGAUCGCAUCCGACAUACCGUGCGUUCUCCUCCCCUUUAUGCCCGCGCCUCCGUGUACGGCCCGCCCAUAGCUCCUUCGACGGCGCCGCCUAGGAACGCGGAGAAAAUAUGACAAAGGAACGGCCAAAAAUAAAAAGAAAGACCUUUCUUUUGAAAAAACAAACAAAUAAAAGGAAUGCAACACGAGGAGUUCCCAGGAGGUCACCCAUCCUAGUACUACUCUCGCCCAAGCACGCUUAACUUCGGAGUUCUGAUGGGAUCCGGUGCUUUAGUGCUGGUAUGAUCGCAUCCGACAUACCGUGCGUUCUCCUCCCCUUUAUGCCCGCGCCUCCGUGUACGGCCCGCCCAUAGCUCCUUCGAUGGCGCCGCCUAGGAACGCGGAGAAAAUAUGACAAAGGAACGGCCAAAAAUAAAAAGAAAGACCUUUCUUUUGAAAAAACAAACGCCUCCGUGUACGGCCCGCCCAUAGCUCCUUCGACGGCGCCGCCUAGGAACGCGGAGAAAAUAUGACAAAGGAACGGCCAAAAAUAAAAAGAAAGACCUUUCUUUUGAAAAAACAAACAAAAAAAAGGAAUGCAACACGAGGACUUCCCAGGAGGUCACCCAUCCUAGUACUACUCUCGCCCAAGCACGCUUAACUUCGGAGUUCGGAUGGGAUCCGGUGCUUUAGUGCUGGUAUGAUCGCAUCCGACAUACCGUGCGUUCUCCUCCCCUUUAUGCCCGCGCCUCCGUGUACGGCCCGCCCAUAGCUCCUUCGACGGCGCCGCCUAGGAACGCGGAGAAAAUAUGACAAAGGAACGGCCAAAAAUAAAAAGAAAGACCUUUCUUUUGAAAAAACAAACAAAUAAAAGGAAUGCAACACGAGGACUUCCCAGGAGGUCACCCAUCCUAGUACUACUCUCGCCCAAGCACGCUUAACUUCGGAGUUCUGAUGGGAUCCGGUGCUUUAGUGCUGGUAUGAUCGCAUCCGACAUACCGUGCGUUCUCCUCCCCUUUAUGCCCGCGCCUCCGUGUACGGCCCGCCCAUAGCUCCUUCGACGGCGCCGCCUAGGAACGCGGAGAAAAUAUGACAAAGGAACGGCCAAAAAUAAAAAGAAAGACCUUUCUUUUGAAAAAACAAACAAAAAAAAGGAAUGCAACACGAGGACUUCCCAGGAGGUCACCCAUCCUAGUACUACUCUCGCCCAAGCACGCUUAACUUCGCAGUUCUGAUGGGAUCCGGUGCUUUAGUGCUGGUAUGAUCGCAUCCGACAUACCGUGCGUUCUCCUCCCCUUUAUGCCCGCGCCUCCGUGUACGGCCCGCCCAUAGCUCCUUCGACGGCGCCGCCUAGGAACGCGGAGAAAAUAUGACAAAGGAACGGCCAAAAAUAAAAAGAAAGACCUUUCUUUUGAAAAAACAAACGGCUCCGUGUACGGCCCGCCCAUAGCUCCUUCGACGGCGCCGCCUAGGAACGCGGAGAAAAUAUGACAAAGGAACGGCCAAAAAUAAAAAGAAAGACCUUUCUUUUGAAAAAACAAACAAAAAAAAGGAAUGCAACACGAGGACUUCCCAGGAGGUCACCCAUCCUAGUACUACUCUCGCCCAAGCACGCUUAACUUCGGAGUUCUGAUGGGAUCCGGUGCUUUAGUGCUGGUAUGAUCGCAUCCGACAUACCGUGCGUUCUCCUCCCCUUUAUGCCCGCGCCUCCGUGUACGGCCCGCCCAUAGCUCCUUCGACGGCGCCGCCUAGGAACGCGGAGAAAAUAUGACAAAGGAACGGCCAAAAAUAAAAAGAAAGACCUUUCUUUUGAAAAAACAAACAAAUAAAAGGAAUGCAACACGAGGACUUCCCAGGAGGUCACCCAUCCUAGUACUACUCUCGCCCAAGCACGCUUAACUUCGGAGUUCUGAUGGGAUCCGGUGCUUUAGUGCUGGUAUGAUCGCAUCCGACAUACCGUGUGUCGACGAAAGCUGGUCGGCAGUCUACCUUGGGGUAUACCCACGGUAGUAGUUUAUCGGUAGACGGUGCGCAAACUACGAACUCGAUGGUGACGCAAGACACGGACAAGCUUUUUAUCCAGGUUCGGCCGCCGAGUUGGCGUAAUACCUACGUCCUGCGUCUGGUUGUAUUGGAUUGUGUUUAGAGAUAAUCUACCCUAGGGGGUCCCCUUGCCCCUCCUUAUAUAGUCUGGAGGGCAGGGUUACAGAUCUAGAAACUAAUCCUAGCCGGUUACAAUUGCCAUAGAUAAUUCGAUAUCAAUUCCUAUUCUAACCGACUAGAAUCCUGCUUGAUCUCCACGUCCUGUUUCCUUGCGCGAAACUCGGGCUAUCGGAUCAAGCCUUGAACUCGUCUCGUAGUGGGCCAAGCUUCCUAGCUGAAGUCUAGCCGUAAGGGUAUAGGGGUUUAUACCCCCACAGCUAGUCCCCGAGCGCCAUGUAUUGUGACGCAACACUCCGUCUUGAGCUUCUUCGAUCAGCGUGGUCUGUCGUCUUCAAUGAGCGGGGAAAUCGCCCAAACGGUUCAUUGAUCAACGUUGUCAUCGAAGAAGCAGGUUGUUCGAAGAAUGCAUGGUGCUCUAAAAAAAAUUUCUUUCCUGGUGAAGUGUGCCCACUUUGCCUUUCUGAAAGGUAGAAGCAACAAAAAAGCAAGCAAAUUCACCGCUAGGUGAAGUGUGCCCACUUAGUCCCCGAGCCUGGUAGUAGGUGUCGUAGGCACGUGGUGCCAGGGUCAAAAGAAAAUUCCCCAAAGUAGUUUUGGGACUGAGAUGCAUCGUACCGAUGUAGUCCCCGAGCUUGCUGGAAGGCGAAGUAUGAGCCUUGUAGCAAGGUCUAAAAAAUUGAAUUUACCAGUCCCCGAGCAUGUCAUGCUCGUCUGCAAUCGAAAAGACCAAUCGACCAGUCCCCAGGCACUUAGUGUGCUGCCUGGAAUUACAUGUUACUAUACUGUACGACCAGUCCCCGAGCAUCGAGUGCUCAGUGGUCGGUGCAUGCUUUAAAGCUUUGAGCUGAUAGACUGAGCGACCAGUCCCCGAGCGUCGAGUGCUCGGUGGUCGGUGAAGUCUUUGAAGUUCCGAGCUGAUAAACUGGGCGACCAGUCCCCGAGCGUCGAGUGCUCGGUGGUCGGUGCAGUCUUUGAAGUUCCGAGCUAAUAAACUGGGCGACCAGUCCCCGAGCGUCGAGUGCUCGGUGGUCGGUGCAGUCUUUGAAGUUCCGAGCUAAUAAACUGGGCGACCAGUCCCCGAGCGUCGAGUGCUCGGUGGUCGGUGCAGUCCCCGGAUUGCUGACUCACUGGCGUAUGUGUCUUCUUACUUUUGAAAAGGUCUUUCAAAUUUAAAGUUGACGUGACGGGGUCUCCUGACGAUAUGUCAGACGGAUGCAUGAAAAGCUGUGCCUGGCAACUGUACAACCGCUCUUUGCNNNNNNNNNNNNNNNNNNNNNNNNNNNNNNNNNNNNNNNNNNNNNNNNNNNNNNNNNNNNNNNNNNNNNNNNNNNNNNNNNNNNNNNNNNNNNNNNNNNNCGUUCUCCUCCCCUUUAUGCCCGCGCCUCCGUGUCCGUAAAGGGCAUAGCUCCUUCGACGGCGCCGCCGUAGGAACGCUGAGAAGAUAUGACAAAGGAACGGCCAAAAAUAAAAAGAAAGACCUUUCUUUUGAAAAAACAAACAAAAAAAAGGAAUGCAACACGAGGACUUCCCAGGAGGUCACCCAUCCUAGUACUACUCUCGCCCAAGCACGCUUAACUUCGGAGUUCUGAUGGGAUCCGGUGCUUUAGUGCUGGUAUGAUCGCAUCCGACAUACCGUGCGUUCUCCUCCCCUUUAUGCCCGCGCCUCCGUGUACGGCCGGCCCAUAGCUCCUUCGACGGCGCCGCCUAGGAACGCGGAGAAAAUAUGACAAAGGAAUUUUUUUAAAUAAAAAGAAAGACCUUUCUUUUGAAAAAACAAACGAAAAAAAGGAAUGCAACACGAGGACUUCCCAGGAGGUCACCCAUCCUAGUACUACUCUCGCCCAAGCACGCUUAACUUCGGAGUUCUGAUGGGAUCCGGUGCUUUAGUGCUGGUAUGAUCGCAUCCGACAUACCGUGCGUUCUCCUCCCCUUUAUGCCCGCGCCUCCGUGUACGGCCCGCCCAUAGCUCCUUCGACGGCGCCGCCUAAGAACGCGGAAAAAAUAUGACAAAGGAACGGCCAAAAAUAAAAAAAAAAAACCUUUCUUUUGAAAAAANNNNNNNNNNNNNNNNNNNNNNNNNNNNNNNNNNNNNNNNNNNNNNNNNNNNNNNNNNNNNNNNNNNNNNNNNNNNNNNNNNNNNNNNNNNNNNNNNNNNAAAAGGAAUGCAACACGAGGACUUCCCAGGAGGUCACCCAUCCUAGUACUACUCUCGCCCAAGCACGCUUAACUUCGGAGUUCUGAUGGGAUCCGGUGCUUUAGUGCUGGUAUGAUCGCAUCCGACAUACCGUGCGUUCUCCUCCCCUUUAUGCCCGCGCCUCCGUGUUACGGCCCGCCCAUAGCUCCUUCGACGGCGCCGCCUAGGAACGCGGAGAAAAUAUGACAAAGGAACGGCCAAAAAUCAAAAGAAAGACCUUUCUUUUGAAAAAACACACGCCUCCGUGUACGGCCCGCCCAUAGCUCCUUCGACGGCGCCGCCUAGGAACGCGGAGAAAAUAUGACAAAGGAACGGCCAAAAAUAAAAAGAAAGACCUUUCUUUUGAAAAAACAAACAAAUAAAAGGAAUGCAACACGAGGACUUCCCAGGAGGUCACCCAUCCUAGUACUACUCUCGCCCAAGCACGCUUAACUUCGGAGUUCUGAUGGGAUCCGGUGCUUUAGUGCUGGUAUGAUCGCAUCCGACAUACCGUGCGUUCUCCUCCCCUUUAUGCCCGCGCCUCCGUGUACGGCCCGCCCAUAGCUCCUUCGACGGCGCCGCCUAGGAACGCGGAGAAAAUAUGACAAAGGAACGGCCAAAAAUAAAAAGAAAGACCUUUCUUUUGAAAAAACAAACAAAUAAAAGGAAUGCAACACGAGGACUUCCCAGGAGGUCACCCAUCCUAGUACUACUCUCGCCCAAGCACGCUUAACUUCGGAGUUCUGAUGGGAUCCGGUGCUUUAGUGCUGGUAUGAUCGCAUCCGACAUACCGUGCGUUCUCCUCCCCUUUAUGCCCGCGCCUCCGUGUACGGCCCGCCCAUAGCUCCUUCGACGGCGCCGCCUAGGAACGCGGAGAAAAUAUGACAAAGGAACGGCCAAAAAUAAAAAGAAAGACCUUUCUUUUGAAAAAACAAACGCCUCCGUGUACGGCCCGCCCAUAGCUCCUUCGACGGCGCCGCCUAGGAACGCGGAGAAAAUAUGACAAAGGAACGGCCAAAAAUAAAAAGAAAGACCUUUCUUUUGAAAAAACAAACAAAAAAAAGGAAUGCAACACGAGGACUUCCCAGGAGGUCACCCAUCCUAGUACUACUCUCGCCCAAGCACGCUUAACUUCGGAGUUCUGAUGGGAUCCGGUGCUUUAGUGCUGGUAUGAUCGCAUCCGACAUACCGUGCGUUCUCCUCCCCUUUAUGCCCGCGCCUCCGUGUACGGCCCGCCCAUAGCUCCUUCGACGGCGCCGCCUAGGAACGCGGAGAAAAUAUGACAAAGGAACGGCCAAAAAUAAAAAGAAAGACCUUUCUUUUGAAAAAACAAACAAAUAAAAGGAAUGCAACACGAGGACUUCCCAGGAGGUCACCCAUCCUAGUACUACUCUCGCCCAAGCACGCUUAACUUCGGAGUUCUGAUGGGAUCCGGUGCUUUAGUGCUGGUAUGAUCGCAUCCGACAUACCGUGCGUUCUCCUCCCCUUUAUGCCCGCGCCUCCGUGUACGGCCCGCCCAUAGCUCCUUCGACGGCGCCGCCUAGGAACGCGGAGAAAAUAUGACAAAGGAACGGCCAAAAAUAAAAAGAAAGACCUUUCUUUUGAAAAAACAAACGCCUCCGUGUACGGCCCGCCCAUAGCUCCUUCGACGGCGCCGCCUAGGAACGCGGAGAAAAUAUGACAAAGGAACGGCCAAAAAUAAAAAGAAAGACCUUUCUUUUGAAAAAACAAACAAAAAAAAGGAAUGCAACACGAGGACUUCCCAGGAGGUCACCCAUCCUAGUACUACUCUCGCCCAAGCACGCUUAACUUCGGAGUUCUGAUGGGAUCCGGUGCUUUAGUGCUGGUAUGAUCGCAUCCGACAUACCGUGCGUUCUCCUCCCCUUUAUGCCCGCGCCUCCGUGUACGGCCCGCCCAUAGCUCCUUCGACGGCGCCGCCUAGGAACGCGGAGAAAAUAUGACAAAGGAACGGCCAAAAAUAAAAAGAAAGACCUUUCUUUUGAAAAAACAAACAAAUAAAAGGAAUGCAACACGAGGACUUCCCAGGAGGUCACCCAUCCUAGUACUACUCUCGCCCAAGCACGCUUAACUUCGGAGUUCUGAUGGGAUCCGGUGCUUUAGUGCUGGUAUGAUCGCAUCCGACAUACCGUGCGUUCUCCUCCCCUUUAUGCCCGCGCCUCCGUGUACGGCCCGCCCAUAGCUCCUUCGACGGCGCCGCCUAGGAACGCGGAGAAAAUAUGACAAAGGAACGGCCAAAAAUAAAAAGAAAGACCUUUCUUUUGAAAAAACAAACAAAAAAAAGGAAUGCAACACGAGGACUUCCCAGGAGGUCACCCAUCCUAGUACUACUCUCGCCCAAGCACGCUUAACUUCGGAGUUCUGAUGGGAUCCGGUGCUUUAGUGCUGGUAUGAUCGCAUCCGACAUACCGUGCGUUCUCCUCCCCUUUAUGCCCGCGCCUCCGGGUACGGUCCUCCCAUAGCUCCGUCAACGGCCCGCCUAGGAACGCGGAGAAAAUAUGACAAAGGAACGGCCAAAAAUAAAAAGAAAGCCCUUUCUUUUGAAAAGACAACCGAAUAAAAGGAAUGCCACGCGAGGACUUCCCAGGAGGUCACCCAUCAUAGUACUACUCUCGCCCAAGCACGCUUAACUUCGGAGUUCUGAUGGGAUCCGGUGCUUUAGUGCUGGUAUGAUCGCAUCCGACAUACCGCGCGUUCUCCUCCCCUUAAGGCCCGCGCCUCCGUGUAC